rfam:Stegodyphus mimosarum contig7577, whole genome shotgun sequence.
GCCGUCGUGGCUUAAUGGAUAAGGCAUCGGUCUCCUAAACCGGGGAUUGUGGGUUCGAGUCCCACCGAGGGUA